rnacentral:rRNA from 1 species
CGUAGCGAAAGUUACGCUAAUACCGCAUAUUCUGUGAGCAGGAAAGCAGGGGAUCGCAAGACCUUGCGCUGAUUGAGCGGCCGAUAUCAGAUUAGCUAGUUGGUGAGGUAAAGGCUCACCAAGGCGACGAUCUGUAGCGGGUCUGAGAGGAUGAUCCGCCACACUGGGACUGAGACACGGUCCAGACUCCUACGGGAGGCAGCAGUGGGGAAUUUUGGACAAUGGGCGCAAGCCUGAUCCAGCCAUGCCGCGUGAGUGAAGAAGGCCUUCGGGUUGUAAAGCUCUUUCAGCCGGGAAGAAAACGCAUGGGUUAAUACCCUGUGUGGAUGACGGUACCGGAAUAAGAAGCACCGGCUAACUACGUGCCAGCAGCCGCGGUAAUACGUAGGGUGCGAGCGUUAAUCGGAAUUACUGGGCGUAAAGCGUGCGCAGGCGGUUUGUUAAGAUAGGCGUGAAAUCCCCGGGCUCAACCUGGGAACUGCGUUUAUGACUGGCAGGCUAGAGUAUGGCAGAGGGGGGUGGAAUUCCACGUGUAGCAGUGAAAUGCGUAGAGAUGUGGAGGAACACCGAUGGCGAAGGCAGCCCCCUGGGCAAAUACUGACGCUCAUGCACGAAAGCGUGGGUAGCAAACAGGAUUAGAUACCCUGGUAGUCCACGCCCUAAACGAUGUCAACUAGGUGUUGGGAGGGUAAAACCUUUUAGUACCGGAGCUAACGCGUGAAGUUGACCGCCUGGGGAGUACGGCCGCAAGGUUAAAACUCAAAGGAAUUGACGGGGACCCGCACAAGCGGUGGAUGAUGUGGAUUAAUUCGAUGCAACGCGAAAAACCUUACCUACCCUUGACAUGUCCAGAAGCUCUUAGAGAUUUGAGUGUGCCCGAAAGGGAGCUGGAACACAGGUGUUGCAUGGCUGUCGUCAGCUCGUGUCGUGAGAUGUUGGGUUAAGUCCCGCAACGAGCGCAACCCUUGUCGUUAAUUGCCAUCAUUUAGUUGGGCACUUUAACGAGACUGCCGGUGACAAACCGGAGGAAGGUGGGGAUGACGUCAAGUCCUCAUGGCCCUUAUGGGUAGGGCUUCACACGUCAUACAAUGGUCGGUACAAAGGGUCGCCAACCCGCGAGGGGGAGCCAAUCCCAGAAAGCCGAUCGUAGUCCGGAUCGUAGGCUGCAACUCGCCUGCGUGAAGUCGGAAUCGCUAGUAAUCGUGGAUCAGCAUGUCACGGUGAAUACGUUCCCGGGUCUUGUACACACCGCCCGUCACACCAUGGGAGCGGGUUCCGCCAGAAGUAGGUAGCCUAACCGCAAGGGGGGCGCUUACCACGGCGGGGUUCGUGACUGGGGUGAAGUCGUAACAAGGUA